rnacentral:rRNA from 1 species
UACGAAGGGGGCUAGCGUUGUUCGGAAUUACUGGGCGUAAAGCGCGCGCAGGCGGUCUUCCAAGUCAGUGGUGAAAGCCCGGAGCUCAACUCCGGAACUGCCAUUGAAACUGUGAGACUUGAGGAUGAGAGAGGUGAGUGGAAUUCCCAGUGUAGAGGUAAAAAUUCGUAGAUAUUGGGAAGAACACCGGUGGCGAAGGCGGCUCACUGGCUCAUUUCUGACGCUCAGGCGCGACAGCGUGGGGAUCAAACAGG